ensembl:lncRNA
AGCAUUUGAUUUCAGUCAGUAAUGUGGCAGUGCUUUGUACACCCGGCCCAGGAUUUGAAAGAAAUAAACAUUCACCGAAUGGCCUUUCUUUCCUUUGGAGAUAAACAUCUUUCACUUCUCAGAAUUCUGCUUUGAACUACGUGGGAACAUUUCAAAGCGGGAUGAUUUCAAAAAAAACUUCCUUCGUGUUGAGAAUUUAGGAGAACUUACGUCUGGAUUUCAAUCUCUUUGAAGUUGACAUAUGUGGGAUGGAGCUGAUCCCAGAGACGUGGCAUUUUGAUUUCUGCUUCUGAGGCUGCUCUGUAACUGCUGGGCUGCUACAUGGAAGGUAUCUGCCAGCACCUCUUCAAGGAGAGGAGCCCCACUGUGCCAUUCACUCUGUGCUUCCUGUGCACUGUCGAUAUGCCUGAGCCUGCCUCCUGAUAAUGCUACUCAGGGGCUCAUAUCCUGCAGGGAUCUGCAUUCCGAUGACCUCCUGGAUGCCUGCAAGACUGUGACAGAAGGGAAUUCCUCCCUGGCAAGGAUGAGACCAAAGAUGGGUGGUGGGUGCACGGAAGUCCAUCACAUGACUGAGCCAUAACUUCUGGUGCAGAACAAAAGCAAACCCCCUACAUGUGUCCCAGGUCAGGUGACGUGCCUAGGACUUUCCUUUCCAAAGGAAAAUCAAAGUCUACAAGCAAAGUACGUGCUAGUCCAUGUACUUCCCAUCAAUCAUGCUGUGAGGAGUCGUAAAAAAAACUAUUUCCUUAUUCCUGACCUGGAGCCAAAGACCUGGAGCAUGUGGUUUGAUUAUCGCCACUGUUGUAAAGUGGUGCUCAGCCUGCUGUGAGUCAGCUCUGAAGAAGGGCUCAUCACGGGGCACAGAGGGUUGCAGUAUCCUGGAGCUGUGUGGCACCCCUGGAUGUGUCUCUGGAAAAGCCCAGAAGGGAAGAAGAGAAACACAGCCCAAGACCUUAUGGCUAAUGAGUCAUAGGAUCACAGAACCAUAGAACGAUUUGGGUUGGAAGGGACCUCCAAGCCCACGCUCCCUGCCCACGGCACAGGUUGGGGUGAGUGGGCUUGAAGGACUCUUCCAACCCAAACCAUUCUAUGAAUUCUGUGGAUUCUAUGAAAAAAAAAUGUUGGUUUUCAUCGAUCUCCAGUGGAUUAAUAGUGCGGCUUCUGCAAUGCUGACCCCAGUCCUGCCAAGGGAGCACACAGUUAUAGCUCUCCAACUCCAUCACUGUCCCCACCUUCAUUCUGUGCCACCACAGGAGCAACCAUGCCCACCGGUAACCUGCAAAACUGGAAAUGGGACCUAAGAAUCAUUUUAACACUAUAAAAAUAGGUUAUAUUGGUACUACCGUUCCUCACACGAGGUGACAGCUCUUAAUGUCUUUACAACACAAACGUUGACCCGAAAAUUGCAACAAAAUUCUUCCUCCUGACUGAAACAGAUUUGCAUGUAGAUUCAAUGCAAUGAAAUGCUGGAAGCUUCUACAAGACAGGUGGACAUAAUUUUUUGUGGACAGCCCUGACGCUCCCAGUGCAACUGGGUGUUAACACCACUGUGAUGCCCAGCACCUACCCCAGGCGUGCUGCCUACAGAUCCCUCACCUGCAGCUCUUAUCAGCACAGCUCAAGGACAUAGCUCUUCUGCCUGCAGCUGCCUUGUCAGCAUAGCCCAGGGACGUAGCUCCUAUUCACAUUAUUAAUAAUAUUAAAAGAACCCAGCGCCACAGCAAAGCACAGCAAACCUAACCCCACCCCAAACAACAGCAUUUUGGUGAGCGACUGCAGCUCAGCCUCCUCUCUGCCUGCCUUACACCCCAGUGAUUUCCCACAUGGCAAUAUACGCUGUUAUGAGGGCCACUUGCAACUUGCAGCACCUGUUGCAGGAGGUGAUGAUAUCAAGGCAAGUUCUUCGAGCCCCAGUGUCCAGCUAUGAGCUGCACUCAGGUGAAUCUGAUUUGGGCAGCAGAAAUACUCCAUUUCCAAACACAGCUUACCUCCCUGUGUGCCCCACCUCCUCCUUCACAACCGAGCAGCAUCUGUGCUUUUUUCCUCUUUCACUUUGAUCUGGGCUCUGAUGACUAAGGGAACAGGAAGAUUAUAGUUUAAGUGUAUAAUUCUCAUUCGACGUGACAGGUUAAAGCUAUGUGCUUUUAGAGGAAGCUUAGGAUUAUUUUAGUUCAAUUACAAUACCGAUUUGGUCCCUGAUUCAUUCUUUGAGGACUGGCUUUAUGGAGAUAAAUGUUGAUUUAAAUUUCCUGCUAGCGAAAUAUAAGCAUAUGUUUAUACUG